UGGGGAAUAUUGGACAAUGGGCGAAAGCCUGAUCCAGCCAUGCCGCGUGUGUGAAGAAGGUCUUCGGAUUGUAAAGCACUUUAAGUUGGGAGGAAGGGCAGUAACCUAAUACGUUGCUGUCUUGACGUUACCGACAGAAUAAGCACCGGCUAACUCUGUGCCAGCAGCCGCGGUAAUACAGAGGGUGCAAGCGUUAAUCGGAAUUACUGGGCGUAAAGCGCGCGUAGGUGGUUUGUUAAGUUGGAUGUGAAAUCCCCGGGCUCAACCUGGGAACUGCAUUCAAAACUGACAAGCUAGAGUAUGGUAGAGGGUGGUGGAAUUUCCUGUGUAGCGGUGAAAUGCGUAGAUAUAGGAAGGAACACCAGUGGCGAAGGCGACCACCUGGACUGAUACUGACGCUGAGGCGCGAUAGCGUGGGGAGCAAACAGGAUUAGAUACCCACGUAGUCCCUGAGCGGGCUGGCAAGGCGCAU
rnacentral:rRNA from 1 species